GUGAGAAAGUUGUAAAUUCACAGGAAGUUAACGGAUAUUAAGAAGCAUUUCAGAGAGUGUUUACAAUGUGUCAGAAGACAUACGCUAUAAAACAGAUGUUAUUAAACAUACGUUAUAAAACAGAUGUUAUUAAACAUACGUUAUAAAACAUAUUUAGGAAAACAUUGUUUAGAAAAAUCUACGUUCAAGACGCUGUAUAGCCCUUGUGACUUAGCUUUUCUUUUUGAUUAUAAUAAUAAUAAUAAUAAUACGUUCAAGACGUACAUUCAACGACGUACGUUCUCAAGAUCCAGUAAUCAAUAUUAUAUUUAGCUGCUGCUCAGUUUUUCUGAAUAUAUUUUCUUUAUUAUUAAGACGUGUAUGUGUAUGUAUACUUUUAUACACAAUUUGAUAUAACAAAUGAGUAGAAAAUCCAGAUGCCGAAAUGAGUGUCGCCGACCUCUGAAGACGUCGCUGUUGGCUUCGCUGUUGACGUCGCUAUUGACAUCGCUGUUAACGUCACUGCACGGGAGUGAAGAGGCAAGAGGAGCGUCAGAACGAUAAUUUCCACCGGCAGCCACAUUGACAAUGGACAUCCGCUAGCUAGUACUGCUGCACACUUCACUACUAGACACUCCACACUACUACUCCAGCAGUCACCGGGAAGAAUAGAACCUUCAGAGCAACCUGCAGGCAUCCUGAAGGAGAAGAUCUCCAGGUUCUGGUGUGUUUACGCUCACUGUGCGCUGGUGCUCUGACACACCUAAAAUCAGUACUUGGUCAGCCAGGCUGUGGAUCGUACGUCGGUUUGCCUGCGGCCGGCAGUUACAGCCUGGUUGAUCAGUCUUAUCCACCGCGAGGGCUGGUCAUGGACGGGGACGCGGGGGCGUUGACCCCCGCAACACCCUCCAGGUGACUUGUACAGGUCAGCAGAUGAGAGUGAGAUGACCUGACGUCAGCUUUGACCUUUGUUAACCUCAGUAUAAUCUUCAGAGACUGCCAAGCAUCAUUCAUUAGUGACCCCCGAAGCCAUCUUCCUCGCUUGUCAUGAUAGGGAACUGUGUGUGGUGGUGUGUGGCGUCCAUGGUAGUGAUGGUGGAAGUGGUGAGGGUAGAUGGGACUCCAGAAACCCAGCCUGUCGCUAAAGUGAAACCCCUUCUGAAGAAACCAUGGGUUAAGGAGAAACCUACAGGUGGUUUACCUUCCCAGCUGCCAACCUCCAGCCUCAGUAUCACGCUUCCUGUGUCCAGCCUCCCACCUUCCCGUCCAGUGUCCAGCUUUCCUCCCUCCCUCCAUACCUUAACCCACCACUCCGUCACGAAGGCUACCACCCAUCAUACCUUCUCUCAGUACCGCCCUACAACGUCCCAUCCCGAUCCAACCUGUUCCUGUAAUCGUCCCCUCACGUCCCAUCCCAGCCCAACAAUCUCCCAUCACCUCCCCAUCACAUCAAAGCUUCACUCUACCUUCACACACAACCUCCCCACUAAAACGAACCACAAACUAACCUCUUCACCCCAAUCUACCCGUCCUUCACUCACUGCUUCUUCCCUCCCUCCUCCCCUCUUCAAGCGUCCAUCACUGCCUGCUCCUCACCUUCCUAUCUCCCCUCCUCCAAUUCCUCCUUCCCCAAGCUUCUCCCACUCUUCCCGUAGGGAGUGUGUGGGGAAGAAAGGGAGGAAACUUGGGGAGGGAUCUACCGAAGCUCUGGGAGAUGGUGUGUGUGGAGUACGACGCUGCCUCAGUUAUGGAGACAAAGUCGUCUUGGAAGAAGAGAGGUGCGAGUCCGUGAUCUACAACCCAAAUUACACGUGUUUAAGAGUUGAGGAUCACACCUUGCCCUAUCCUCGCUGCUGUCCACGACUUGUGUGUGAUAACUCGGUCACUGCCUCAUCUACUGGGUGAUAACUCGGUCACUGCCUCAUCUUCUGGAGGAUAACUCGGUCACUGCCUCAUCUUCUGGAGGAUAACUCGGUCACUGCCUCAUCUACUGGGUGAUAACUCGGUCACUGCCUCUCAACUGAAGAAUAUUUUGUUAUUUACCCAAAACAUGGAUGUUUUAUAUCAUUAUUCGUGUUGUGUGUAUCCCCACCUCUGUUUAUGUAUUAAUGUGAGAACCUUACUGCUUGUAGCUUGACUGGUGACACUCUGGUGGUGCUUGUAGCUUGACUGGUGACACUCUGGUGGUGCUUGUAGCUUGACUGGUGACACUCUGGUGGUGCUUGUAGCUUGACUGGUGACACUCUGGUGGUGCCUGUAGCUUGACUGGUGACUCUCUGGUGGUAUUUGUAGCUUGACUGGUGACACUCUGGUGGUGCUUGUAGCUUGACUGGUGACACUCUGGUGGUGCUUGUAACUUGACUGGUGACUCUCUGGUGGUGCUUGUAGCUUGACUGGUGACACUCUGGUGGUGCUUGUAGCUUGACUGGUGACACUCUGGUGGUGCUUGU